GAUGAACGCUGGCGGCGUGCCUAAUACAUGCAAGUCGAGCGAACAGACGAGGGGCUUGCUCCUCUGACGUUAGCGGCGGACGGGUGAGUAACACGUGGAUAACCUACCUAUAAGACUGGGAUAACUUCGGGAAACCGGAGCUAAUACCGGAUAAUAUAUUGAACCGCAUGGUUCAAUAGUGAAAGACGGUUUUGCUGUCACUUAUAGAUGGAUCCGCGCCGCAUUAGCUGGUUGGUAAGGUAACGGCUUACCAAGGCAACGAUGCGUAGCCGACCUGAGAGGGUGAUCGGCCACACUGGAACUGAGACACGGUCCAGACUCCUACGGGAGGCAGCAGUAGGGAAUCUUCCGCAAUGGGCGAAAGCCUGACGGAGCAACGCCGCGUGAGUGAUGAAGGUCUUCGGAUCGUAAAACUCUGUUAUUAGGGAAGAACAAAUGUGUAAGUAACUAUGCACGUCUUGACGGUACCUAAUCAGAAAGCCACGGCUAACUACGUG
rnacentral:rRNA from 1 species